CGAACGAAGCCUUCGGGCUUAGUGGCGCACGGGUGCGUAACACGUGGGAAUCUGCCCUCAGGUACGGAAUAACUCAGGGAAACUUGAGCUAAUACCGUAUGAUGUCUUCGGACCAAAGAUUUAUCGCCUGAGGAUGAGCCCGCGUCGGAUUAGCUAGUUGGUGGGGUAAAGGCCUACCAAGGCGACGAUCCGUAGCUGGUCUGAGAGGAUGAUCAGCCACACUGGGACUGAGACACGGCCCAGACUCCUACGGGAGGCAGCAGUGGGGAAUAUUGGACAAUGGGCGAAAGCCUGAUCCAGCAAUGCCGCGUGAGUGAAGAAGGCCUUCGGGUUGUAAAGCUCUUUUACCCGGGAAGAUAAUGACUGUACCGGGAGAAUAAGCCCCGGCUAACUCCGUGCCAGCAGCCGCGGUAAUACGGAGGGGGCUAGCGUUGUUCGGAAUUACUGGGCGUAAAGCGCACGUAGGCGGCUUUACAAGUCAGGGGUGAAAGCCCGCGGCUCAACCGCGGAAUUGCCCUUGAGACUGUAUCGCUUGAACACGGGAGAGGUGAGUGGAAUUCCGAGUGUAGGGGUGAAAUUCGUAGAUAUUCGGAAGAACACCAGUGGCGAAGGCGGCUCACUGGACCGUAGUUGACGCUGAGG
rnacentral:rRNA from 1 species